rnacentral:misc_RNA from 1 species
AACGCACAUUGCGCCCGCUAGUAUCCUAGCGGGCAUGCCUGUCCGAGCGUCAUUUCUGCCCUCAAGACCGUUGUGUCUUGGUGUUGGGGCGCUACGGCCCGGUGCCGUAUGCCCUGAAACCCAGCGGCGGGCCCUCCGACGACCCCGAGCGCAGUCACUUCUUCGUUCAGGGCUCGUGGCGGGCUUCCCAGCCGUCAAAACAGACGCCUCCGGGCGCUAACCAUCACUAGUUGACCUCGGAUCAGGUAGGAAUACCCGCUGAACUUAA